rnacentral:ncRNA from 1 species
GGAGAAGGGUUCCAUGUGAACAGCAGUUGAACAUGGGUCAGUCGACCCUAAGGGAUAGGCGAAGGCCGUUCUGAAGCGGGGUGAUGUUCGCGUCGCCCCGGCGGACCGAAAGGGAAUCGGGUUAAUAUUCCCGAACCUCGACGCGGAGAUUGGCGCUCCGGCGCCUAGUGCGGCAACGCAAACGAACUCGGAAACGCCGACGUGGGUCCCGGGAAGAGUUCUCUUUUCUUGGUAAGGGGCGGCGACCCUGGAAUCGGUUCGCCCGGAGAUAGGGACAUGGGCCCCGUAAAGCAGCACGUCUCUUGUGCUGUCCGGUGAGCUCGCGUCGGCCCUUGAAAAUCCGAGGGAGACGGUGUAAUUUUCGUGCGAGGUCGUACCCAUAUCCGCAGCAGGUCUCCAAGGUGUAGGCCC